UACGUAGGGGGCUAGCGUUGUCCGGAAUCAUUGGGCGUAAAGAGCGUGUAGGCGGUCCGGUAAGUCCGCUGUGAAAGUCCAGGGCUCAACCCUGGGAUGCCGGUGGAUACUGUCGGGCUCGAGUCCGGAAGAGGAGUGUGGAAUUCCUGGUGUAGCGGUGAAAUGCGCAGAUAUCAGGAGGAACACCAAUGGCGAAGGCAGCACUCUGGGACGUGACUGACGCUGAGACGCGAAAGCGUGGGGAGCAAACAGG
rnacentral:rRNA from 1 species